rnacentral:rRNA from 1 species
AGAGUUUGAUCCUGGCUCAGGAUGAACGCUAGCGGCAGGCUUAAUACAUGCAAGUCGUGGGGCAGCGCAGGUAGCAAUACUGGGCGGCGACCGGCAAACGGGUGCGGAACACGUACACAACCUUCCUUCAAGUGGGGAAUAGCCCAGAGAAAUUUGGAUUAAUACCCCGUAACAUAACGAUGUGGCAUCACAUUGUUAUUAUAGCUUCGGCGCUUGUUGAUGGGUGUGCGGCUGAUUAGAUAGUUGGCGGGGUAACGGCCCACCAAGUCUACGAUCAGUAGCUGAUGUGAGAGCAUGAUCAGCCACACGGGCACUGAGACACGGGCCCGACUCCUACGGGAGGCAGCAGUAAGGAAUAUUGGUCAAUGGACGAAAGUCUGAACCAGCCAUGCCGCGUGAAGGAUUAAGGUCCUCUGGAUUGUAAACUUCUUUUAUCUGGGACGAAAAAAGGCGAUUCUUCGUCACUUGACGGUACCAGAUGAAUAAGCACCGGCUAACUCCGUGCCAGCAGCCGCGGUAAUACGGAGGGUGCAAGCGUUAUCCGGAUUCACUGNGUUUAAAGGGUGCGUAGGCGGGCAGGUAAGUCAGUGGUGAAAUCCU